CUCUGGGUGGCGAGUGGACGGACGGGUGAGGAAUACAUCGGAAUCUACCGUUUGCGUGGGGGAUAACGAUAGGGAAACUUACGCUAAGUACCGCAUAAGACCUUCGGGUGAAAGCCGGGGACCUUCGGGCCUGGCGCGGAUAGAUGAGCCGAUGUCGGAUUAGCUUGUUGGCGGGGUAAAAGCCCACCAAGGCGACGAUCCGUAGCUGGUCUGAGAGGAUGAUCAGCCACACUGGAACUGAGACACGGUCCAGACUCCUACGGGAGGCAGCAGUGGGGAAUAUUGGACAAUGGGCGCAAGCCUGAUCCAGCCAUACCGCGUGGGUGAAGAAGGCCUUCGGGUUGUAAAGCCCUUUUGUUGGGAAAGAAAUCCUGCCGGUUAAUAACCAGUAGGGAUGACGGUACCCAAAGAAUAAGCACCGGCUAACUUCGUGCCAGCAGCCGCGGUAAUACGAAGGGUGCAAGCGUUACUCGGAAUUACUGGGCGUAAAGCGUGCGUAGGUGGUCGUUUAAGUCUGUCGUGAAAGCCCUGGGCUCAACCUGGGAAUUGCGAUGGAUACUGGGCGACUAGAGUGUGGUAGAGGAUAGUGGAAUUCCGGUGUACCAGUGAAAUGCGUAAAGAUCGGAAGGAACAUCUGUGGCGAAGGCAACUUCUGGGCCAACCCUGACCCUGAGGCACAAAAGCGUGGGGAGCAACAGGAUUA
rnacentral:rRNA from 1 species